rnacentral:tRNA from 1 species
UAGGGUCAAGGCAUCGGUUUGGUAAAUCAACGUACUUUAGUUGAGUGUCAUGGGCUCAAAUCCCAUUGCG